GCUUCCUUGGCUCAGUUGGUUAGAGCGCAGGUCUCAUACGCUCGUAUGAGUAGGCAAACAUGCUUACGUAAUCCUGAGGUCGAGAGUUCGAUUCUCUCAGGGAGCA